GUUAAAUUUCUUAAGCUACUCUAAUACAUAGGAUUAUUACCUUGGCCCACUAUCCCAGUUAGGCUUUCAAACUUUUCCCUGCUAAGUGAGCUAAAUAAGUGAUUAUGAUGCUUAAAUAAGUGUUUAUGAUGCUUUUAGAGUGGUAAUCGGUAGGUGUCUUGAGUUGAACUAAACACUUGCUAGGCAGAAAACACGGAUCUAGAACUUAAACAAAAUGAAUGAUCCAAGAAAAAAAUAAUACUCCCUUAUAUGGUGUCAUAAGAAUUGUUAGAAUUUAUAUUGUUUGGAAACAGAUAGAAGUAUCACUGCUCAGUGGUGCUGUGACAUGACCAUAAAGUCAUGAACAUCAACCAUAUAUGUACUUUCAUCACCAGAAGUAAAAGCAGAAGAGGAACAUAAAGAAGAAAGCAAAUGGGGUAAACUGGCCAAAGCAGGAGGGAGCAGGAGUAAAGGUAGUAGAGAAGGAUGUUGGCCAACUGCUGAGAAGAUUGAAUAAUGCAGCACAAAUACUAUCUCCACCCCUCAGAGCCGGCACAGGUCACCUGCAGAGAAGCAUUUCCCUGGAGCUUUGCUGCUGCUGCUGCAAUACCAUUAGCAUUGGAGCCUGUCCCAGCACCUGCAGGAAGAAGAAAUCCACAGAAAAUGGAUUCAGCAAGCACCAAGUACCUUCACUGACAUACACCACUCUCCAGAAGUUCACCUCUUCUGUGGAGAGAUUCUUAUCCCAUUUUUGGGACAAUAUUUAGGGGUCAACCAAACUCCAGACAGCCUCCACCUGCCAGAAAGGACACAGUGGAAGUAGCUUUGGUGAUGCAAAUCACGUUAUUGCAGCAAUGAACAGAAGCCACAGCCUUAUCUUUCCUCAUCUCAGAUUUUGUUUGCAAGAUAAUACUGUUUUCUGUCUUGUAGACCAUUGGAGUAGUUGACACACUGUAUCAGUGUCACCAUAUUCAACUGUAGAGAAAAGCUGUGAUGUGCGGAAAAAAAAAAUAAUAAAAAAAAAAAGCCAUGAAAAGCCCUCA
rnacentral:lncRNA from 1 species